GGUCAGUAGGGAGAUAGUGAGUUAUCUCAAUUGAUUGUUCACAGUAUCAGUUACGGAUAGAACUCCUUGUUCUACUUUUCCUCCCUUCUCACUGCUGCAAUUUACUAGUCUUAG
ensembl:misc_RNA Y_RNA Y RNA